rnacentral:rRNA from 1 species
GACGAACGCUGGCGGCGUGCUUAACACAUGCAAGUCGAACGGAAAGGCCCUGCUUUUGUGGGGUGCUCGAGUGGCGAACGGGUGAGUAACACGUGAGUAACCUGCCCUUGACUUUGGGAUAACUUCAGGAAACUGGGGCUAAUACCGGAUAGGAGCUCCUGCUGCAUGGUGGGGGUUGGAAAGUUUCGGCGGUUGGGGAUGGACUCGCGGCUUAUCCGCUUGUUGGUGGGGUAGUGGCUGACCAAGGCUGUGACGGGUAGCCGGCCUGGGAGGGUGACCGGCCACAAUGGGACUGAGAUACGGCCCAGACUCCUACGGGAGGCAGCAGUGGGGAAUAUUGCACAAUGGGCGGAAGCCUGAUGCAGCAACGCCGCGUGCGGGAUGACGGCCUUCGGGUUGUAAACCGCUUUCGCCUGUGACGAAGCGUGAGUGACGGUAAUGGGUAAAGAAGCACCGGCUAACUACGUG